rnacentral:sRNA from 1 species
CUCCUCUUCAACCCACCCCCAAUACCCCUCGUUUUGAUUGAUGUCCACCGGCACACCGCACAUAGUUGAGAGGAAGCUCCUUCGGAAUUUUCCGCCUGGCCAGGGAUGUUUACUUAUGAGACUCGCCUGGCGCCUCGGCACACACAUACAAGCUCACGGCCAGGACACGUGUGCCCCGGACAACGUGUGGUAUGUGUAAUAUGCGGAGGCGAGCGUUGAGAGCUCGGGCGACAUCUUUAAUGACAAUAACGAAUGUCCGCACUCUGAUUACGUGCGGCAUUUACCACAAGCAGCCGAAGCAGCAAAAAAAUGUGCAAACACACAUUUCAUGGGGCACUCAAAACAGGACCUCCUAUAGAAUAUGGAUCAAAAUGUAUACAACAUCUGAACUUAUGGUAAAAGAAUAAUAAAUAGAUGCAAAUAAUCUCUGGAUUUGGCUCAAGAAUAGUUGAGCUUUAAAAGGA